rnacentral:rRNA from 1 species
UACGGAGGGUGCGAGCGUUGUCCGGAUUUAUUGGGUUUAAAGGGUGCGUAGGCGGCCCGUUAAGUCAGUGGUGAAAUCCCAGGGCUCAACCCUGGAACUGCCAUUGAUACUGACGGGCUUGAGUUCGGUUAAGGCGGGCGGAACUGGUGGUGUAGCGGUGAAAUGCAUAGAUACCACCAAGAACCCCGAUUGCGUAGGCAGCUCGCUGAGCCGAAACUGACGCUGAGGCACGAAAGCGUGGGGAGCGAACAGG